CUGCAGAAGUUCCUUGUUUCUUGUACUACUAAUAUCUCUUGAACACACAUCACACACACAUAAGAUAUAAGAUGAGUGCUUCCUUUGAUACCUCCUCAAGUUGAAGCUUCUCUUCUUCCCAAAACCCUUCUUUUAAAUCCCAUGAAAUAUUCAUCGAAGGAUUCACCGGAAUUGUUUAGCUACUUGAAUCGGGUUCAGGAUAUCAUCAAGUUUGGCAUGUCCUAAUCACCAAAUAGAAGAACGCUGCAAAGAACACGAUGUGGCCUUUUAUCAUAGACCGAGGCCAAUGCAAAAGUUAGUAAUGUGACCUUCGACGAUUCACCUAAUACAGUCUUAUGCCAGUAAUUACGUGAUGUUUCAUGUUAAGACAUCGGGUGCUAAAUUGUCAAUUACCUAUAAAGAAGAUGGACAGAGCCAUACUUCUUGGGCAAUGGUAAUUUCCUUGAAUUUUGUUAUUAUAUGAAAUCACGUAAAAGAUGAACGAUGAAAAAGAAUGAGCGCACAAUUGGAUCUCGAUUCAAUCAAA